UACAAGGACUUCUUAAAGUCCACAUAAGGCAAAAUGACAGCUGAUGU
rfam:Cavia porcellus supercont2_22 genomic scaffold, whole genome shotgun sequence.